UUCUUCAUGGACACUGGACAAGAGCUCGAGACCCACCCAGUGCGGUGGUGCUGGGCAGCUCCUCCCUCCCUAUUGGCUGUUCUGCCAACCUCACGACACCAUCAUAGAAGACUUCAGAGACUGACUCUUGCAGGUUGAACUGUGUCCUCCAAAAAGAUACGUUGAGUCCCUAACCCCCAGUACCUGUGAACGUGACCCUAUCCGGAAAUAGAGUUUUUGUGGAUGUAAUCAUACUGGAUUUGGAUGAACCCUAAUCGAAGAUGACCAGGGUCCUUCUAAGAAGAGAAUAGAUGCAUGUGCGUGCACACACGCACACACACACACACACAGGACCAUGUGACAACUGAGGCAGAGAUUGGAGUGACGUGUCUGCCAGCAAAAAAUGCCAAGGAUUGCCAGCAACCACCUAUGGUCUCCUCCCUAGAUCAUCUAGAGAGAACACAGCCAUGCUGACAUCAUCAUUUCAGGUCUCUAUCCUCUGGAACUGCAAUAUAAUAAACUUCUGUAGUUUUAAGCCA
rnacentral:lncRNA from 1 species